UGGAUCUUGUUCUAAGCUCCCUUUACCUGAUCUUGGUGAUGUAAUUCCUGUUGUCAAAGAUGAUGAUAUUGAUCCAAAAGUUGAUCCGAUUAAAAUGUCAUCUCAUUAUGUUACUACUCCUAUUGUUAUGCAGACUCUUCCAUUUUCUGAUGAUGACUCUCCUCACAUAACCCCUAAUUUGUCUAAGAAGUUGCCUCCUACCUAUCAGUUGAAUUCAUCCUCUAAGGCU